CUAAACGAUAUCCAGUUUCCCAUGGAUCCCUUCAGCCUGUAGGAAAAUCCUUCUUUGCACACAGCUCAGCUGGUGACAGACCUCUUCUGGGGUCAGUGGUUUAGCUCCCCAGUGGUUGUGCAAUAUUGGCAAACCCACCGAUCAGCCUUGUGUCUUAGGAGCACUCGUCCCAUCAUCAGCAGUUCUGUGAGGCCCUGGGACACUGGCUGGCUCAGCAGGAUCUGUCUGCCCAUGGCUUUUUCCCCUGUCGGCAACAGCACGUCCAAGAGGGUAAAUUCUGCAGCUCCAUCAAUGUAUGGCCACUCAAGUUAACAAGGCAGCCCACGUGGAUGCUCAGCAGGCAUGGGGACUGUGAUGCUGAAGUCAGCCAGAAAGCCGCCUGGCCCAUUUUCCUCUUGAAGGCGGGGGUAAGGGACGAGGAGGUUGCAAUAACUGAGCUCCUGUCUCCUGUCUGGGCCUCAGUGGGCUCCAAAGAAGGUCAAGAAGUGCCAAGUUCUCUGUCUGGCCCUGUCCCAGGUGAAGGCUUCCUUCCAGGGUGCUUGGGAGCCUCUUCUCAAGGAACUGCCACAUUCCCUGUGCCAUUGACAUGA
ensembl:lncRNA